UUUAACAGUCGACGAUCAUACGCGGAGCUCGCGACCGAUCAUACGUUCCGUUUCGCCCGUUUGGAAUUUGCACUUGCCAUUGUCCUUGCCUCGGUCUCAGCUUCUUUCUCAUUGUCCCGCUCUCCGUCUCUGUCUCGCCCUUUUCUUCUCUUGUUAUAAAUCGAGUUUAUAGCUGCCGGUAGAGCGGCUCCGAGCAUCGGUUAAACGGUCCGACCUUGGGUAUACUCGCGCUUGGUCCAAAUUAGAAACGGCCGAGCAAGAGGUCAAUUUGAACGCGGGGUUUUCGAAUGCCUUCGAACGAUCGAUCGUUUCAUCGAGCGCAAUUUAUUUUCCUGCCCUGUAUAUCAAUUUCGAUGAUCAUCGCGACGGUAAACACACGACGAACGCGGGAAGCGGAAGCGAGUCAGGCACCGACAAACAAUAAUAAUUGAUCGCCGUUCCAGACAUCUGUUUACACAUCUACUCAGUAUCGAGGGGUCCGACGCGAGACAGUUUUUCCAUUCAAAUGUUACGUACGUAGCUCGUGCAAUCUAAACGUCGUAAAACCUGCAUGAAUCAUGAUACUGACCACGGCGACCGCAAUCCUUUUCAAACAGAUAUCGACGCGUAUCCAAGAAUCCGACUCUUUCAAGCGACGAACGUUUACUUUCCUCACGGCCACGUCCAAAUCUGAAUUAUCCGUCACGGUGUUAAUUAGCAUAAAAAUAGGUGAGGAAAUGGCGGUCUCCGCACGGCAUGGUCGAACUACUUAUAUCUCAACCGCGUACAUUUACGUAGCGUGCAGUUGAAACGGUCACAGCCGUUAACGCACAAUAGCGAGUAGCGAGGCGACCCAGUAACCAAACAGUUUCAACUUGUUUCACAGACAUCGAUUUUGCCGUUUAGAACGAACAGCGGCAGCGCGCAACAGACGGUCUCCGAUCGGAUUCUUUCACGGGCUUCUGUCGUUGCCAUUUCACGGCUUAAACACGGCACUGCCGCACGAUGAACAUCAUCCUUAUAUGCUAAUAAUAAUAAUAAUCAGCCGGUUGGAAAACCCCAGAUCGUUCCAACCAACCGAUCGCAGUUGAUUUUCUCGUUGCCGCGUUUCUCUCGGUUUGCUUCAGUUCGGCUCGGCUAGGGUUAAAGAGAUCGACCGCAAAUAAUUGGGUUAAAUUGCGACAAAUACGUUUAAACCAUGAUCCUGUUCGCGAUUCUAUCCGAUAACUGGAAUAAUCCGACUGGAUCCGAUCCGAACCGAUCCGAUCCGACUCGAGCAGCGAAUAUUAUAGAUGCUGGUCCAUCAGAUACGAAAUUCGUGUAACUGUUUUAACGCAUAAAACGCAUAAGCGAAGAGUUUUCAAUAGUUAAGCCGUACCAUGACCAUACGCGGCGAUACGUGCGUACAUAAAUUUGUAUCGAUCCGUGACCAAAUAUACUCAAGGAUGCGAGCUAUAAAAGUAUUAAAGAUGCUUCGAAGGGAGCGAGUAAGUAAUAAAUCGGCCGAUCGAACGUUCGAACGGUACACGUGUCGUUUUCAUUAUCGCGUUUUAAAUAUGCACGUAGUCGGCCGAUAGCCGGUCGAAUUUAUUUGCCCACUGACUCAUUUUUUGUCCCGUCGAUAUACGACCAGUGUGUGAAGACGGCCGGUCGACAGAUAAAGACGGAUGAAGCGUUUUUCGCGAGCUUCGUUCGUCGUUUCUUGUUACCUAACUCACGAUGCACCUCCUGGACGCCUUUGCCCUCCGAUCGGCACGGAACGGAACGCGUGCCUCCGGCUGACCACGACAUUUAUUUCGCUGGCUUCUGUCUAUAUAUUCGCGAAUCACGUGUCCCGAUCGCGAGCCGGUGUAACGUAUUUAAAACCGUAAGCCGUAAGUCGUUAUCUAUGGAGUUAUGUGGUUUCGCGUGACGAACUUUGUUUUAUCCGUCCCUUCCUUUUCUCGCGGCACGUGCACGUUUUCAGUUUGAUCGCGAAACUUUCUUUAGCGCGUGUUUCGCUCGCACGCAUUCCGCCAAUUAGUGUCAACGCGCGUCAAUUUAUUCGUUACUCGACGCCGUCGUCGUCCCCUGUUUUUCUUUGCAUUCGCGCUACGGAGAUCGUGACGAUUUUCUCACGAGCGGCUACUCUCUUACUAGGGAUGCUCGAUUCUCCGCAAAGAAUUGAUUCUCGAAUUGAUUGUGAAUCGGAAUCUUUUAGAUAAAUGGUGUUGGAUAAUGGGCAGAGGGCAAAAAAUCUUACAUUCUAUCGAUUUUGGAGAAAAGGACGUGGAUGUGUUUCCUGAUUUCCUACAAACGAACCAAGUUAUGCUUCGUCUCCAGUUCGUUCGACAUUUGUUCCAGCGAAACGGAAUCAAUUGUUUUUCUGAAUUUGUUGUAACAUUUAUCAACAUCUAUGCAUACUUAGAUUAAAUGAUUAAAAAAUC